CCUACGGGUGGCAGCAGUGGGGAAUAUUGGACAAUGGGCGCAAGCCUGAUCCAGCCAUGCCGCGUGAGUGAUGAAGGCCUUAGGGUUGUAAAGCUCUUUUAGCAGGGAAGAUAAUGACGGUACCUGCAGAAAAAGCCCCGGCUAACUUCGUGCCAGCAGCCGCGGUAAUACGAAGGGGGCUAGCGUUGUUCGGAUUUACUGGGCGUAAAGCGCACGUAGGCGGAUUGUUAAGUCAGGGGUGAAAUCCCAGAGCUCAACUCUGGAACUGCCUUUGAUACUGGCAAUCUCGAGUCCGGAAGAGGUGAGUGGAACUCCUAGUGUAGAGGUGGAAUUCGUAGAUAUUAGGAAGAACACCAGUGGCGAAGGCGGCUCACUGGUCCGGAACUGACGCUGAGGUGCGAAAGCGUGGGGAGCAAACAGGAUUAGAUACCCUAGUAGUC
rnacentral:rRNA from 1 species